CUCGUAGGCGGUUCAGCAAGUCGGCUGUGAAAUUCCGAGGCUCAACCUCGGAACUGCAGUCGAUACUGCUGUGACUCGAGUCCGGUAGAGGAGAAUGGAAUUCCCGGUGUAGCGGUGAAAUGCGCAGAUAUCGGGAGGAACACCAGUAGCGAAGGCGGUUCUCUGGGCCGGUACUGACGCUGAGGAGCGAAAGCGUGGGGAACGACAAACGA
rnacentral:rRNA from 1 species